rnacentral:rRNA from 1 species
AUGAACGCUGGCGGCGUGCCUAAUACAUGCAAGUCGAGCGAACGGACGAGAAGCUUGCUUCUCUGAUGUUAGCGGCGGACGGGUGAGUAACACGUGGAUAACCUACCUAUAAGACUGGGAUAACUUCGGGAAACCGGAGCUAAUACCGGAUAAUAUUUUGAACCGCAUGGUUCAAAAGUGAAAGACGGUCUUGCUGUCACUUAUAGAUGGAUCCGCGCUGCAUUAGCUAGUUGGUAAGGUAACGGCUUACCAAGGCAACGAUGCAUAGCCGACCUGAGAGGGUGAUCGGCCACACUGGAACUGAGACACGGUCCAGACUCCUACGGGAGGCAGCAGUAGGGAAUCUUCCGCAAUGGGCGAAAGCCUGACGGAGCAACGCCGCGUGAGUGAUGAAGGUCUUCUGAUCGUAAAACUCUGUUAUUAGGGAAGAACAUAUGUGUAAGUAACUGUGCACAUCUUGACGGUACCUAAUCAGAAAGCCACGGCUAACUACGUG